CACGUAGGGGGCGAGCGUUGUCCGGAUUUAUUGGGCGUAAAGAGCUCGUAGGCGGCUAAGUAAGUCGGGUGUGAAAACUCCAGGCUCAACCUGGAGACGCCACCUGAUACUGCUUUGGCUAGAGUCCGGUAGGGGAGCAUGGAAUUCCUGGUGUAGGAGUGAAAUCCGUAGAUAUCAGGAGGAAUACCGGAGGCGAAGGCGGCCGACUGGGAGAGUAUUGACGCUGAGGUGCGAAAGCGUGGGGAGCAAACAGG
rnacentral:rRNA from 1 species